CCUGACCUGGCUGCCCCAGUCCCUAACAAACGUUUUCUCAUUCAUACAGAUGCUUCCAUGUAUGGACUGGGGGCUGUGCUGAGCCAGGUCGGGGAAAAAGGAGGAGAGCACCCUAUCGCAUACCUAAGCAGAAAGUUACUACCUCGGGAAGUGAGUUAUGCGGCAGUGGAGAAAGAGUGUUUAGCCCUGGUCUGGGCACUGAAGAAGUUGAGCCCUUAUUUGUACGGGCAGGAGUUUUCACUUAUAACGGAUCACAAUCCCCUUGUCUGGCUUAACCGGGUCUCAGGAGACAAUGGCAGACUGCUGAGGUGGAGUUUGGCACUGCAGCCUUAUAACUUCACCAUCAGCUAC